GAUGAACGCUGGCGGCGUGCCUAAUCCAUGCAAGUAGAACGCUGAAGGGGGAGCUUGCUCUUCGGGAUGAGUUGCGAACGGGUGAUUAACGGGUAGGUAACCUGCCUGGUAGCGGGGGAUAACUAUUGGAACCGUUAGCUAAUACCGCAUAACACCAGUUAUUGCAUGAUAACUGUUUAAAAGGGGCACUUGCUCCACUCCCAGAUGACCCUGCUUUGUAUUAGCUAGUUGGUGAGGUAACGGCUCACCAAGGCGACGAUACAUAGCCGACCUGAGAGGGUGAUCGGCCACACUGGGACUGAGACACGGCCCAGACUCCUACGGGAGGCAGCAGUAGGGAAUCUUCGGCAAUGGACGGAAGUCUGACCGAGCAACGCCGCGUGAGUGAAGAAGGUUUUCGGAUCGUAAAGCUCUGUUGUAAGAGAAGAACGAGUGUGAGAGUGGAAAGUUCACACUGUGACGGUAUCUUACCAGAAAGGGACGGCUAACUACGUG
rnacentral:rRNA from 1 species